UCCCAUCAGCCAACAUAAGGCUAGGUAGAAGGACACCUCAGUCCCAUCAGCCAACAUAAGGCUAGGUAGAAGAACACCUCAGUCCCAUCAGCCAACAUAAGGCUAGGUAGAAGGACUCCUCAGUCCCAUCAGCCAACAUAAGGCUAGGUAGAAGGACACCUCAGUCCCAUCAGCCAACAUAAGGCUAGGUAGAAGAACACCUCAGUCCCAUCAGCCAACAUAAGGCUAGGUAGAAGGACACCUCAGUCCCAUCAGCCAACAUAAGGCUAGGUAGAAGGACACCUCAGUCCCAUCAGCCAACAUAAGGCUAGGUAGAAGGACACCUCAGUCCCAUCAGCCAACAUAAGGCUAGGUAGAAGGACACCUCAGUCCCAUCAGCCAACAUAAGGCUAGGUAGAAGGACACCUCAGUCCCAUCAGCCAACAUAAGGCUAGGUAGAAGGACACCUCAGUCCCAUCAGCCAACAUAAGGCUAGGUAGAAGAACACCUCAGUCCCAUCAGCCAACAUAAGGCUAGGUAGAAGAACACCUCAGUCCCAUAAGGCUAGGUAGAAGGACACCUCAGUCCCAUCAGCCAACAUAAGGCUAGGUAGAAGAACACCUCAGUCCCAUCAGCCAACAUAAGGCUAGGUAGAAGAACACCUCAGUCCCAUCAGCCAACAUAAGGCUAGGUAGAAGAACACCUCAGUCCCAUCAGCCAACAUAAGGCUAGGUAGAAGGACACCUCAGUCCCAUCAGCCAACAUAAGGCUAGGUAGAAGGACACC